rnacentral:rRNA from 1 species
CACGUAGGGUGCGAGCGUUGUCCGGAAUUAUUGGGCGUAAAGAGCUCGUAGGCGGUGUGUCGCGUCGGCCGUGAAAACCUGCAGCUUAACUGUGGGCUUGCGGUCGAUACGGGCAUCACUGGAGUUCGGCAGGGGAGACUGGAAUUCCUGGUGUAGCAGUGAAAUGCGUAGAUAUCAAGCGGAACACCAGUGGCGAAGGCGAGUCCCUGGACAACUCCUGACACUGAGGCACGAAAGCUAGGGGAGCAAACAGG